rnacentral:rRNA from 1 species
UACGGGGGGGGCAAGCGUUGUUCGGAAUUACUGGGCGUAAAGGGCUCGUAGGCGGCCAACUAAGUCAGACGUGAAAUCCCCAGGCUCAACCUGGGAACUGCAUCCGAUACUGGAUGGCUUGAAUCCGGGAGAGGGAUGCAGAAUUCCAGGUGUAGCGGUGAAAUGCGUAGAUAUCUGGAGGAAUACCGGUGGCGAAGGCGGCAUCCUGGACCGGCAUUGACGCUGAUGAGCGAAAGCUAGGGGAGCAAACGGG